rnacentral:misc_RNA from 1 species
GUGAAUCAUCGAAUCUUUGAACGCAAAUUGCACUCUCUGGUAUUCCGGAGAGUAUGCCUGUUUGAGGGUCAGUUAAAAUAAAAAUCGGUGUGGUUGCUGCCUUUCGUGGUGACGCACCUGAUGUGGGUAGUCUAGCCUUCGGUUAAGUGACCUAUAAUUUUGCAUGUUUUUUUUGAAUGUAU